rnacentral:rRNA from 1 species
UAAACGACUCUCGGCAACGGAUAUCUCGGCUCUCGCAUCGAUGAAGAACGUAGCGAAAUGCGAUACUUGGUGUGAAUUGCAGAAUCCCGUGAACCAUCGAGUCUUUGAACGCAAGUUGCGCCCGAAGCCUUCUGGCCGAGGGCACGUCUGCCUGGGCGUCACGC